rnacentral:rRNA from 1 species
UACGUAGGGGGCAAGCGUUGUCCGGAAUUACUGGGCGUAAAGCGUGCGCAGGCGGUUCUGAAAGUCAGCUGUGAAAGCCCCGGGCUUAACCUGGGAAUUGCGGUUGAAACUACAGGGCUAGAAUCUGGCAGAGGGGGUGGAAUUCCACGUGUAGCAGGUGAAAUGCGUAGAGAUGUGGAGGAACACCGAUGGCGAAGGCAGCCCCCUGGGCUGAGAUUGACGCUCAGGCACGAAAGCGUGGGGAGCAAACAGG